GUGGGGGAAGUGCCUACAUAGGCACAAGCUAUCGGCCAAGUGAAGGCUGGGAGGGACCCUAUAUGCUGGGUACGGGAGGCGAGGGGGUAAGGGAAGGCAGGGGGCGAUUUAAGCUUUGUGGGAGGAGGGGAGGUACAGUGUGCCCUGGGGUUUGGUGGGAGGUGGGACUGGCCACGGCCAGUUGGCGCGCCAGAGACACGGUUACAUAAAUGUUCCCUGGCGCCGCCGCGAGGCCGCUGGUAGCAGCAAGCAGUGCAUGGCGCGGGCUGAGCGUGAUUGCCUCAUCUUAUCAGGGAACACAACGUCCCAUAUGCUCUUGCCCAAGCCACAGGCUUGGGCGGGAACAGCAUGUUCUCAGUGAAGCCGGCCGGAGGAGGGGAAGCGACCGCAGAGGCUCUCUCCCCGCCGCCAAAGCCCUCACCGGGAUUGAAUGCGCACUGUCCCGCAGCAGAAGGACACACAAGUACUGCUGGCUUCCCAGAGCGUUCUAGCUCAGAGCCUGAGCUGGGUCCUAGGCUGCUACUAAGGGUCCUCUGGUCCAAAGGGCAUUCUCCCAAUACUUGCACUAACCAGAUAGCUAAGCCUCACUGCCACUAGCUCCUCCCCAGGUGGGUGGGCGGCUCUUGGCUCCAGCAGCACCUGCACAAACCACAGUGCCUUCCUUGCUGCUCUGUGUGAGCCUGCCGCUCAGGAGUAGCAAGUGUUUUUAGAGGAUUUUCUGCUCUCCCACCUCUACUUCUUGUAUGCAGUGAUAGCGGUGGGGCAGAGCAGCCACCUGCUUAAUCCUGGUUUAGGUUUACUGCCCAAAGUCCAGCAUCCAACUGGAAGCCUACCCUGCUCUCUUAUUGUGGAGGGAGAAGAGAGGGCCUGGAGCUCUGACUAGGAGGUCCUGAAAAUGCAGAUAGAUCCAUCCAUCUUAUGCAGUAUCCCAGACUCUAAGAUCAGCCCUCUGUAGGCAUAAAGAAUCUAUGUGCGAGUCGGGAGGCAAGGCAGAGUGGGUACAUCUGGCUGGUGUCUUGAUCACUACAAAUGCUAGUGACCAAGACAGAGGAUCUGCAGAUGACUUGUCUCCCCCACCCAGGGACCAGAUGCUGUGGGAGCCAGUGCCACUGAUCUCAGCCAAGAGGCUAAGAAGUGAUGAGCGCGCACACACACGAGCCAUCAGGACGCAGAAGUAAGACUGCUAUUUAACCUCAGAAUCCACUUCGGACUGCUAUGUGUCUUGAAAAUUUCAGCAAUGGAUGCAAGGAUAUUUCCUGAGGUCAUGGAAACUGGAAAAGCCAGUGGAAACCAGGCAGACACAGUUCAUAAGGAGAAUACAGUGGAUCUCUCAAACAACCCCAGACAUCCCCCUACCACGAUGUCAAGGCAAAGGAGUCCACUGAAUUGUAUUCACCAGAUGGUCAGGCUACAGGGACACAGCCAUUCUGUCCCUCUGCUCAGGACAACUGUGAAAAGCUCCUCUCUGGGAGACUGGCAACAUUAGAAAGAUUAUAAACGUGGCCACUGAGACUGUAGCUCAGUACUGGCCCAUUACUGGAGAAGACCAGGCCCACUGUUGCAUUUUAAACACUGCAUAUCCUUCAACCCUCUAAACCUUUCAGUGCCUAGCCUACACAUGUGUGCACACCUGCACACUUACAAAAUGCACUCACACCCGACUGAUCAGCAGAGCUGAAGCCCAGAAAUAAGAAGCAUUUUUUUCAAUAGAUGGUUAAGGAAACUGUGGAACAUGUGUACCACAGAAAGUGGGUGUUCUUGGUGGACUGCUAUAGACAGAAGUGAGGAAGACCAAGUCCAGAAGAAAUGCUUGGACCGUUUGGAUAAACAGCAUGGGUUGCACAAGCACCUGCCUGUCUGUUCAGAAGUGAGAAUGGGCUCCCUCCAGCAGACAGAAGAAAAGACUGGAGAACAACUUAACCCAAGCCAAGCUCCCCAACUCCUUAAAUAAUCCAUACGGCAACUAGAAAAUGAUCUAGUCAUGAAGGGUUUGGCAAGAUGGAACAGCAGGUAAAAGCGCUUACCACGCCAGCCUGACAACAAGAAUCAGGUUCUUGGACCCCCCACAUUCAAAGGAGAGCACAGAGGAAGCAGCCCCCACCCCCAGCUGUGUCACGAACGCUGCUGUGUGCAUGCGUAUAUGCGUAUACAGCACACAAUAAUAAAAAAAAAAAUAGAAAAUGAGACUCAUGGGUGUUGU
rnacentral:lncRNA from 1 species